UGUCCCAAGGCCGGGCCUGCUCGGCUGGCACAGCACGCUUGUCGUUACAGGUCAAGCUCAGGUCAACGACCCGGUAAUCUAACCGAGGACGAGGCAACGAGGGACGAGGCAACGAGGGACCCUACGUGGUUUAGUUCUAGAAAGCUCCCAUGGCUUGGGAACAGGAAAACAAGCAGAAUGACACAUCUUUCAAAGAAAAUGCACAAAUUUACUUUACUGUUUCCAAAUAGUCGCCAUCCUUUCUCGGGGAAGAGAAGCUGCUCUGAGUGUGCUGCGUCUUGCAAUUCCCCUGGGUGCCCGAUGCAGACUGUUCCACGCAGAUUAGUACUCCAGAACUUCUUGAAUGUUUCCUGUGGUAGCAGCAGCCUCUGGGACGGCCCCACGGGAUGCUGCCUCCUGGGAUUCACGCCUUCCUGCAACGCCUCUCAUUAUGUUGGGCUGAACCUAGUGACCUACUGUGAUAAACAGAAUGUGGCAAAGCACAUGGAAUCCUGUGGCUGGUGUAUGAGACGUGACAAGAAGGGCACCUGGCCCGAGUCGUGACCCUGGGGUCCUGAUAUCGAGUCCCACGUCGGGCUCCCUGCAUGGAGCCUGCUUCUCCCUCUGCCUGGGUCUCUCUCUCUCUCUCUCUCUCU